ACAGCAACAAUAGCAGCAGUGAUAGCUAGCGUCAUACACUAACCUGCGCUUCUCUCUACGGUCGACACAAAAUAGCCAGCUAGCUGUUGUUUAUAUUUUAAAUAAAGAUGUCGACCACGACCGGCGGUGGAGAAUUUGGUAACCCCCUGCGUAAAUUCAAGCUCGUAUUCUUAGGCGAGCAGAGUGUGGGAAAGACUUCUCUCAUCACUCGUUUUAUGUAUGACAGCUUUGACAAUACCUAUCAGGCAACAAUUGGCAUUGACUUCUUAUCGAAAACCAUGUACCUGGAGGAUCGUACGGUCCGGCUCCAGCUCUGGGACACGGCUGGACAGGAGCGUUUCCGCAGCCUCAUCCCCAGCUACAUCCGAGACUCCACCAUCGCUGUGGUGGUUUAUGACAUCACCAAUUUGAAUUCAUUCCAACAAACCUCAAAGUGGAUUGAUGAUGUCAGAACAGAGAGGGGAAGUGAUGUCAUCAUCAUGCUUGUUGGGAACAAAACCGAUUUGGCUGAUAAAAGGCAAGUUUCUGUUGAGGCUGCAGAGAGGAAAGCUCGUGAACUCAAUGUGAUGUACAUAGAGACCAGCGCCAAGGCUGGCUAUAACGUCAAACAGACAGAUCACCACAGAGGAGGGCGAGCAGAGAGCUAAGGAACUGAAUGUCAUGUUCAUUGAAACCAGCGCAAAGACUGGCUACAAUGUGAAACAGCUGUUUCGCCGUGUGGCUGCGGCCUUGCCCGGGAUGGACAGCACACCAGAGAAGAGCAAAGAGGACAUGAUCGACAUCAAACUGGAGAAGCCACCAGAGAUGGCUGUGACUGAGAGCAGCUGCUCCUGCUAGUAAACACACCCCACCCACCCCCACCUGACCUGCCUCCUCCCCACCAACAGCUUGUCUCUCAGUGGCCACUCUCCCCACCCAUGGCUCACUGCCAUCGGGCUGAGACCUAUCUUUUCCCCUUUUUGACUCAGUGACUUUUCGGAGUAACCGUGUGGAUGUGCUAUUACUCUGUAUUUAAACGGAUAAGUCUGAUGGAAAAUGACAGAAAAAAAAAUGAACAAAAAAAAAUUACAUUUAAAAGUUACAGUUAAAAACGAGGGAUAAUUUAAAUGCUGAUAAAUUUUUCAUCCAACUGCAUGGCAUUAUAUAGGAUUGCAGACUGACAAAUUACGGCUUUGAGUUAUUAUUGCACUUUUUGGAGCAUCAGUGCUGUCACACACGUCAAUGUUGUACAGUAACUACGUUUGAGGUUAUGUCAAGUAGAACACGUGGUCAAGGCUUUAGUCCCUUGAUUCAUUGCUUUUGCUUCCAGUGGAGAGUAUGGAAGUUGGGAAAAUUAGAGUAUUGACAAUUAUCUGUUACUGAGAACCCCCUUCUUUAGUAUUCUUUGUUCCAAAAAUAAGUUUGCAUUUAAAGUCCACAACUUUUUUAAUUAUAACUUCUCUCACUGUCACGGUUGGCUCAGUUAUAGCCACGUAUCAAACACGGUUAAUGGGACCAUACAUAAGGGACGUUAUUUUCACGACAUUAUAAAAGGCAUGAACAGCCAAAUACCUACCUUAGUGAGUUAAAACGUGUGCAGAUCAUAAAGACCAGCAUGUUUUCAAUUAUCUCUAAUGGGGGAAUUCUGCUAAAACAAUUGCAUAGCCAACCAAUAUGGAAAGUGUGUUAUCAGAAAAGGAAAAGUAUCCCAAAUUAAUUAUAACAUGGAGGGGAAAAAAACGAGCAAACUAUUUAUGUACACUUUAAAACUAUAGCAACUAUGUCACAGCCACUUUCCUUCUCAGUGGCACACUAACACAUCUGGGGAUGUGUGUAGAGAAACUUUCAGAUGGAUAGAGCUGACAACUUAGGUUUAACUUGUCCAGUGACCCAUAUGGCUCUUCAGAACCACCCACCAUAGAUAUAUGGUAGAUCUAUCGUUGUCUUGUUUUCAUCACACUAUUGCAGGAAUAGCAUGCUCAUCAUGUACGAUAUCUAGACGGUUAAGAACACAGAUGCCUUGCUUGUUUGUUCACCAACGUUGUGCACUGGAUCAAGCCACAAUAUUGUAAAGAUUGAGGCCGGCUGACAAGCGUCUGGCUUCACUAGUUGUUUAGUAGAGCAGGUAGGUAGUCCCCAGAUGCAGCUAAUGCUUACUAACACCCUUGCUGUAUAAAGUGCAGUUAAGACUUAAAUGCUACUGCCUGUGCAGGACUUGGUUUUUAUGUGUUUAUUUAUUUUAACACAAGCAAACGUGAAUAACAAAAAUGUCAGUUGCAGGCACGCACAACGGAGGCUGGUGUUUUAUUUAUUUUGUGUCUGUUUGGAUGCUGUACCUGAAAGCAAACGCAAGCCUCGGUUGUUUGGGCUUUUAGCAUUAUGGGCCUGUGGGCACAUUAGCUAGAUGCUGUGUGUUUCGUCGGUGGAUUGGUUUAGUCAGGCAAAUGUUUCACUGUACCCCUUUCAUCUUUUGACACAAAUAACACAUGGUCACAUACAAACUAGUAAUAAAUUACCCAUAUAAACCCCACACUAAGCCUACUUUCGUGGUAUCUUAUUUUGGUGACUAUAAACAUUUUGAAAUAAUUUGACAAUAAUCAACAUUAUUAACUACAUUAUUGACUAUCAACAAUAAAGUGUUGAUAGUCAAGUAGGCCUAUUAAAUUACAUUGAACGACCGUAUUUACCUUAACAGCUCUUCUAUUGUCACUGACUGAAUACUCAGCUCUGCUAUUCUGAAGUGUGUCUGUCUAUUUGAAAUAUGCUGUCUACUAGUGUUUAGCAACGUUUGUGUGAAUAAUGUACUUCUAUUACUAUCUGCUGUAUAAAAAGGAGAGUUAAAGGAACACCGAAGUGUAUCACAUGAAACAAAAUAAAGAUAUUUCACCAAGACUGUC